UACGUAGGUGGCAAGCGUUGUCCGGAUUUACUGGGCGUAAAGAGCGCGCAGGCGGUCGUUCAAGUCGCGUGUGAAAGCCCCCGGCUCAACUGGGGAGGGUCACGCGAUACUGAUCGACUCGAAGGCAGGAGAGGGAAGUGGAAUUCCCGGUGUAGUGGUGAAAUGCGUAGAUAUCGGGAGGAACACCAGUGGCGAAGGCGGCUACCUGGACAAUUGCUGACGCUGAGGCGACGCAAUG
rnacentral:rRNA from 1 species